UUCCGGAGAAGGAGCAUGAGAAACGGCUACUAUUUCUAAGGAAAGCAGCAGGCGCGCAAAUUAUUCAAUGGAAACAAUUUUCCGAAAUAGUGACAAAAAAUAUCAAUGCUGGAUACUAUGUAUUUAGUAAUUGGAAUGAGUACAAUUUAAAAUCCCUUAACAAGUAACAAUUAGAGGGCAAGUCUGGUGCCAGCAGCCGCGGUAAUUCCAGCUCUAAUAGCGUAUAUUAAUAUUGUUGCAGUUAAAAAAGCUCGUAGUUGAAAUUUGGAACUUUAUUGUAUUGGUUUAUCUUUUGAUGAACUGUAUAAUGGGUUUCUUCCUACUAGAGUUCGAUUCUGUUCUUAACUGAAUGGAGUAGCUAUCUUUCGGGGUGGUCAGUUGGUUGUUAUAUCUCCACUAAUAAGCAGAGAGGGGUUAAACCUUUGAAGUAAGUUAUGUGGGUCAAGGUAUAAUGAUUAAUUGGAGUUCUAGUUCAUUUACUUUGAGUAAAAAUUAGAGUGUUUAAAAGCAGCCUCUUGGGGCACUGAAUACAUUAGCAUGGAUAA
rnacentral:rRNA from 1 species